rnacentral:rRNA from 1 species
AGGACGAACGCUGGCGGUGUGCUUCACACAUGCAAGUCGAACGGGGUAGCAAUACCCAGUGGCGGACGGGUGAGUAACGCGUGGGAAUCUGCCUAAAAAUGGGGGAUAGCUGGCCGAAAGGCUAAUUAAUACCGCAUAGGCCUAUAAUUCGACAGUUUUAUAGGUUAAAGGAGUAAUCCGUUUUUAGAUGAGCCCGCGUCCGAUUAGCUAGUUGGUAGGGUAAAAGCCUACCAAGGCUUUGAUCGGUAGGUGGCCCGAGAGGGCGAUCACCCACAAUGGAACUGAGACACGGUCCAUACUCCUACGGGAGGCAGCAGUGGGGAAUUUUACGCAAUGGGCGAAAGCCUGACGUAGCGACACCGCGUGAACGAAGAAGCCUUUUGGGGUGUAAAGUUCUGUCGGCUGGGAAGAAAAAAUGACGGUACCAGCAAAGGAAGCAUCGGCUAACUACGUGCCAGCAGCCGC